UACGUAGGGUGGAAGCGUUGUCCGGAAUUAUUGGGCGUAAAGAGCUCGUAGGCGGUCUGUCGCGUCGAAUGUGAAAACCCGGGGCUCAACCCCGGGCCUGCAUUCGAUACGGGCAGACUAGAGUUCGGUAGGGGAGUCUGGAAUUCCUGGUGUAGCGGUGAAAUGCGCAGAUAUCAGGAGGAACACCGGUGGCGAAGGCGGGACUCUGGGCCGAUACUGACGCUGAGGAGCGAAAGCGUGGGGAGCAAACAGG
rnacentral:rRNA from 1 species